UCUGUCCUUUUAUUAUUUUUUUUAAAUAGAAAGGAUAGAUUAAAGUUGGACAAUCAGGUCAUCUCAGCGAUUUCGAGAACCGUCUACAUGGCAACGGAAUGCAUGAAUCGGGUGCCUUUCUGGAGGCCGAAUGGGUGACUUUCUCUUACUCAAGAAAGGAACGCACACCGACCGAUAUAUCCAGCUCUCGGACACCUUUUGGGCAAAUUUUCAUUCACGCUGGCGGAAAAUCACACGCAACUUAUUUUUCUUGCGAAGAAAGACUUUCUUCUGGCAGCUAAUUGACCAUGACAACUGGGCCAGAACAAAACAAAACAAAAAUACAAAGCUACCUGUAUGACGCGCACCGUCAAGAAUGCCGGAGCGAUAUACUUGGUUUGCCUGUUAAUCAAAGUAGUGCAAAGUAAAAGAAAAACAAAAAAAAACAACAGCUGAUGAAGAUAUAUAUGGUCUAUGGGUGAACCGUGACAUGAUGGAUGUAAUUGAUGUAUGAAGAGGUUUCAUGUUUGAUAGGCAUGUAUUCUGUCCAGAGUAGCUGCAUUUCCAAGCAGCGGUCAAUCUUGCACAAUGAUAAUCAUCCAUCAGAUUAGUAGAGGAUUUAAAUGUUGAUCCUGUGAUAUGAAGACUUCUUUCUUAAAUCUGAAUUCUUUUCUUUUUACUUUUUUUUUUUUUUGCGUUUCAAUGCCCAUAGCUCCCUUUAAAAGAAAAAAGAUGGAAACACAGACACACACACACGCGUGCGAGUUCGACCUGAUAAGAAAGUAGGCGUCCUAAGCCUCUUUCUUUUCACCGUCUCACCUGCAGCAAAAAAGUUCCAACGCAACCGAAAAGGUCCUUGAGUGAUGUUUCUUGGAGCUGCUCCAACAACUGGCCUCCAACUUUUGUGCUGCCGGAGAGAAACAAGACCGGCAGGCAAACAAGCAGGCUCUUUUCUAUUCUUUUCUCGUCGUUUUCUAAAUGUGUAUCCCUUUCUUGAAGAAGAAGAAGAAGAAAAAAAAAAAAAAAAAAAAGAAGGAGAGAAUAAAAAUUGUAUGUAUAUGUAUGUGUGCCGACGAGAACUAGGGAGAGAGAGAGAGAGACUGUCUUACGAGGUGUGUCGUGUGUGUGUUGGUUGUGUACUGGGUGUGGAACCAAGGACGAUGCAACAUCUGAUGAACGACCUUGCUGCAGGCUCUCGUGAAAAAGAAAAAAAACGGGCAAAGCGGCGGCCGAGACCGUCUUUAUUUUCCUUUUCUUAAACAAGUUGCGUACAAGAGAAAAUUUGUGAUUGUCUAAAGAAACUGACGCACCUAAACAUCAAGUGCGCUUUUCGAUCAGGUUGAUUGCAAUUUCCCGCCAGUAUCGGCUGUAUUAUGGAAACUGAACGCGUCGAUCGGCACAGGCCUUGGCUUGCAUCCUGUCGCCACACAGCCAACAGUCGGCGGGGAGUAAAAAUGAAUAUUCAAAAGCAUCUCAUUCAUUCCUGUCCAUGAAAAAGGGCCUCUCCUCUCUCCUCUCUCCAUUCUCUCCUUCCCCCUCUGUCUCCUUUUUCUCUAUUAUACACAUAUCUCCUCUUCACGCUCCACACACUCCUUUCGUCCCCAAGAAAGGCCAUGCAUGUUUGCUCUCAGCUAUCGAGCCAACUAUCUUUGAAUUUCUCUUUAUUUUAUGUAUUUUUUUGAAUGCCAGAUCGAUCACCGACUAGUGACCUCUGGCGUACAAUAUAACGAAAAUGGGACCCGAUCAGUGGGAAUCUUCACGCAACAACAGGGAUCAUUCCGGAUAAUUAUUCUUCGAUUCUCUUAUUGCUGCGUUUUAAAAAUCAUCCCCCAUCUUUCGUCCCACUCUUGGAUAUAAUGACCGCAUUUUUAUUGCUCUUGCUGUCGCUGGAACUUUGCCUCUCGUUAUGGACUUCUUCUCUUUCCGUCUUUGAAACACUAUCUUGUAAAUUCAGUUUUUAACAUGUCCAGAAGCCUCAACAACUCAACGUUAGGCUCUUGACGCCAACUUCAACUCUAGAUGUGCAAGUGCCUGAGACUCGAUGACGGGAAAUUUGAUCUCGUCGCAGUGAAACAUUUUUUGUCAUAUUUACGAUCAAAAUAAAUGAUAUUUCUAAGAUCUUUCGUAACUGAAAAACGCGAUGCAAAAUUCGUGCCAAAUUUUUACGCAAUAAAAAAAAAAUAUAUAAAAAAUACAAUGUA